rnacentral:rRNA from 1 species
ACUGACCUCAAAUGCAG